GUAGGUGGCAAGCGUUGUCCGGAAUUAUUGGGCGUAAAGCGCGCGCAGGCGGUUCUUUAAGUCUGAUGUGAAAGCCCACGGCUUAACCGUGGAGGGUCAUUGGAAACUGGAGAACUUGAGUACAGAAGAGGAAAGCGGAAUUCCACGUGUAGCGGUGAAAUGCGUAGAGAUGUGGAGGAACACCAGUGGCGAAGGCGGCUUUCUGGUCUGUAACUGACGCCGAGGCGCGAAAGCGUGGGGAGCAAACAGGGAUUAGAUACCCUGGUAGUCCACGCCGUAAACGAUGAGUGCUAAGUGUUAGGGGGUUUCCCGCCCCUUAGUGCUGCAGCUAACGCAUUAAGCACUCCGCCUGGGGAGUACGGCCGCAAGGCUG
rnacentral:rRNA from 1 species